rnacentral:rRNA from 1 species
GACGAACGCUGGCGGCGUGCCUAAUACAUGCAAGUCGAGCGAAGUUUUUCUGGUGCUUGCACUAGAAAAACUUAGCGGCGAACGGGUGAGUAACACGUAAAGAACCUGCCUCAUAGACUGGGACAACUAUUGGAAACGAUAGCUAAUACCGGAUAACAGUAUUUCUCGCAUGAGAGAUAUUUAAAAGUUGGUUAUGCUAACACUAUGAGAUGGCUUUGCGGUGCAUUAGCUAGUUGGUGGGGUAAAGGCCCACCAAGGCGACGAUGCAUAGCCGACCUGAGAGGGUGAUCGGCCACACUGGGACUGAGACACGACCCAGACUCCUACGGGAGGCAGCAGUAGGGAAUCUUCCGCAAUGGGCGAAAGCCUGACGGAGCAACGCCGCGUGAGUGAAGAAGGAUUUCGGUUCGUAAAGCUCUGUUGUUAGGGAAGAAUGGAUAUGUAGUAACUAUACAUGUAAGAGACGGUACCUAACCAGAAAGCCACGGCUAACUACGUG